GACGAACGCUGGCGGCGUGCCUAACACAUGCAAGUCGAACGGUCCGGCACUCAACCGACCCUCAGUCUAACUGUAGGUGAGGUUAAGUGCCGGAUAGUGGCGGACGGGUGAGUAACGCGUGGGCAACCAACCCUGUACAGUGGGAUAACACCGGGAAACCGGUGCUAAUACCGCAUGACACCUAGACAGUGCAUACUGACUAGGUUAAAGGAUUUAGCCGGUACAGGACGGGCCCGCGUCCCAUUAGCUAGUUGGUGAGGUAACGGCUCACCAAGGCGACGAUGGGUAGCCGACCUGAGAGGGUGACCGGCCACACUGGGACUGAGACACGGCCCAGACUCCUACGGGAGGCAGCAGUGGGGAAUAUUGCGCAAUGGAGGAAACUCUGACGCAGCGACGCCGCGUGAGCGAAGAAGGCCUCGGUCGUAAAGCUCUGUUCUUGGGUACGAAUAAGGUGACGGUACCCGAAGGAGAAAGACCCGGCACUACGUGCCAGCAGCCGCGGUAAAGUAGUGUGUA
rnacentral:rRNA from 1 species